rnacentral:rRNA from 1 species
UACGAAGGGGGCUAGCGUUGCUCGGAAUCACUGGGCGUAAAGGGCGCGUAGGCGGGUCUUUAAGUCAGGGGUGAAAUCCUGGAGCUCAACUCCAGAACUGCCUUUGAUACUGAAGAUCUUGAGUUCGGGAGAGGUGAGUGGAACCGCGAGUGUAGAGGUGAAAUUCGUAGAUAUUCGCAAGAACACCAGUGGCGAAGGCGGCUCACUGGCCCGAUACUGACGCUGAGGCACGAAAGCGUGGGGAGCAAACAGG